UAAGACGGAGGGUGCUAGCGUUGUUCGGAAUCACUGGGCGUAAAGGGCGCGUAGGCGGCCUUGGCCGUCGGCUGUGAAAGCCCGGGGCUCAACCCCGGAGGUGCAGCCGAGACCCCAAGGCUGGAGGCCGGAAGAGGAGGGUGGAAUACCCAGUGUAGAGGUGAAAUUCGUAGAUAUUGGGUGGAACACCGGUGGCGAAAGCGGCUCUCUGGUCCGGUCCUGACGCUGAGGCGCGAAAGCGUGGGGAGCAAACAGGAUUAGAUACCCUGGUAGUCCACGCCCUAAACGAUGCGGGCUAGACGUCGGGGGGCAUGCCCCUCGGUGUCGCAGCGAACGCGUUAAGCCCGCCGCCUGGGGAGUACGGCCGCAAGGUUA
rnacentral:rRNA from 1 species